UCAUGUAUCUACUUUUCCUGCCUUUUCAGUGAUUGUCACUUGCACACUUGCAGGUCUUCCUUCGGUUGUCUUGCUUUCUUGUGGGUUCAUGUAUUUACUUUUCCUGGCUUUUCAGCAGUCUUCGUUCUGUUUCUUUCUUCGGUUGUUCUCCAGUUCUUUCUUCGGCUUGCCGCGGGUGGUUGGGGUGUUUAUCGGUGAGUUGGUGGGUUUAGGGGCUUUCGUGCUGUCUUUGCUUCGAUUUUCUUGGCCGUUGCUCUUGCUUUUUGUAGGUUCAUGUAUUUGCAGACGAUCUUGAGUGAAGAAAGCGAUAAUGGAAGAACAUACGUGCUUCGACUACCUCGGGCGUCGAAUCAGAGCCGAUUUCUCUGAUCAGCUCAUCUCUUCCCAUGCUAUCUCCGAUUCCGCCCUCCCCUUCUCCUCCACCGCCGUCGUUCACGUGCACAAAUACAGCAAGACGAGUGCACAUAUCUAUUUCCAUUGGUUUCUAUUUCGAUUGAAUUGAACUCUAUGGACUGUGUGUAUGUCUCUUUGUUUAAACUGUGCAGAUGCCGAGUUCGGCUUCCCGAUUCAUUGUGGUACAGCUAGCUCACGAUGGGCAUCAGUGCUUGAACAAUUAUAUAUGAAGAAAGAAGAAAUUUGGGAGAGGCGACAGCAAAGGCUUCACUCGACGAAAAAAAGAGACAAUGGAGAGAUCAAGGUCUCAAGAAAUUGGAAUUUUUAGAAAGAAGCCUGCUCAUUUGUUGUAAAUCUUCAAGGUAUGGUUUGUUUGACGCAAAUUACUGUUGUGCGGAUUUUGGGAGUUUGAGAUUUAUAUUUGUAUUUAGAAAGAAGCACACUGAAAAUCCAAAGAAGGUGCACAACAUCCUUCAUAGGCCUCCCCUUUACGGUUGUUUUCUCUCUCCUUUUCCUUGGUUUUUCUUUUGUUUCUUGAUGCAGGUCUCUCUCAAUUUAUUAUCAGCGCUCCUCUUCUUCACAAGAAGAACCCCCAUGACGAUUCAUGAUCCAGGCCAGGUUCAUCUUUGAAUAUUCACUUUCCGUCUCUUUUUACAUAAUGAUUGCUUUGUUCUUAAAGAGAUGAAGUUGAUUGGUUUUUGAUUAUUUUGCUUAUGUUAUUGAAAAUCUAUUUUUCGGGAAAUUGUAAUUAUUUCUAUAGAAUAGCUUUUCAUUCCCCAACUUUUUCACGUAAAAUCAACUGAAAGUAUUGUCAAAUCGAUACAACUUCGCUGUCCUGUAAAAAUGAAUCCACGCAUAGACAGAAACUGGUAAAAAUCCUAUGAAUAGUACACAAAGCUGUAGGAUCAAAGUAAAGUUCUUCGAGAUGUAUUGAUUCCGUACAGAUCGAUAAUCCAAUAAAUAUUCCCGACCGUACGCAUAGAUAGAGGAGGUCAGAGAAGAAGUUAAGAGCACAGCGAACCAUAGCUCAAAGCCAAAUAGCAAAACAGCAGGCCUGCGAAGAAGAUACUCCAAUUAUCAUCGAUUCUCUAUAAACACUUAUUAGUCAUGCCAAUAUCUCCAAGGCUGGUGGAUCUUCGAUUGACUCACUUCUAUGUCUCCCUUUUCUGCUUCUUUCCAGGGAGCUUCGGUCUUUCGUAUUGGGCAUGAGGCAGAGGAAGCUAUCAAUUAUUUCCACAAAUCUUACCUUGACAUUUGCAGAAACACAUGUGAGGUAUGUACCCACCAUCAUUCUUUCUUUGUUAUGUUGUCCUUCUCUCUUUCUUCCUUCUAUUCAUUUUCUUUACGAAGACUUUGAAUGCUUAAGUUUUAAAGUGUUUUUUUUACAUCUCUGUAUAGCGCAACAAAUCCCUCAUCUAUUGUUUCCUAAUAUAAUUUAAAAUGGUUUUCAUGUCCUUAUCUUGGCAUGAUCUCAGGAGUCCUUGGUUGGGUUGUGUCGGUCACAUUGGAGCGUUUCUGUGCGAUGCUGUCAUAAAUGUAAUGCUAAUUGGGCAUCAAACUGUCUCUUAUUACAUUACAUAUGUAUAAAUUUGAAAAAAUUGGGGCGUUUCUGUGGCGAGUUGAGGGUCCUUUUUUGUACUCUCGCCAAUGGGCUUAGUUUUACAGCAGUUGUGGCCAGGAAACGAUGUCCCUUUUACAGCACUGAUUGUGUUACGAGCUAUAUCGCUGCUUAGAUGUUGCCAUGAAAUCUAAUCAGAUGUGAGGAGAGUGCUUCGUAGUGCAUGCUAUUAGGGCUUUUUUGUGGCGAGUCCCACUGCUUUUCAGCUGAGCUUCAUCUCUGAAGUUGAGUGUCUCUUGCUUCGAGGCUGCUUUUUUUUCUUACUAGGAAGUCAGGUCCAAGCUCUCCAAUGUUCAACAGGAUCAUCCGUGAUUCAUCCACAGAUGAGUAUUCCAAUAAUAAAUCAGCUGCUCUGAUGGAAAAUCCAUUGUUUUCGCAAGUGGACGAGGCGAAGGUCACAGUGGGAUCCCUAACUCCAUCCUCCUUGCCAGUUUUAACUUCGAUUACAGUUUUAUCUUUGCAUAGCCGGAGAGGCUCAUUCACUUGGAGUAAAAGAGCUAUUGUACGAGGAAAAAUUAGAAUACCAAGAGAUCUUGGUUUUUAAGUCCUCAACAUAUGGGAAAGUGCUUGCAAACAGACUGAAAUUCAUGUAUUUCCAACAACCACGCACAAAUGGAAGAGCCUAGAGGAGCGACUUAACAAAUUGCAGGUUCUUCUUUACAGGUGAGGUGAGGACAUGAUUGAUAAUCUGGAGGAUGGUUACACAUAGAGAAAAUAUGGACAAAAGGCUGUCAAGACUGCUGUUCUUUUGUUCCGUACUAUUUUUUUUUGUUCUUGGGUUCAGCACUUAGCAUGUGUUUGUGCUCACUAUUCUUUGGAUAUUUUGGACAGAUCAGUAAAACUAAAGAUGACAUAGUGAAGCUUUUUGACAGUAUUGAACAAUAUCGUAUGUUUGUUAUCUGCUAUACUUCCUUUUUGUCCCAAA